UACGGAGGGUGCAAGCGUUAUCCGGAUUCACUGGGUUUAAAGGGUGCGUAGGCGGAUUGGUAAGUCCGUGGUGAAAUCCCCGAGCUUAACUUGGGAACUGCCGUGGAUACUAUCAGUCUUGAAUAUCGUGGAGGUAAGCGGAAUAUGUCAUGUAGCGGUGAAAUGCUUAGAUAUGACAUAGAACACCAAUUGCGAAGGCAGCUCACUACGCGAAUAUUGACACUGAGGCACGAAAGCGUGGGGAUCAAACAGG
rnacentral:rRNA from 1 species